AAAUUAUUUUCAAAGCAUAAAUUACUUGCUAUUCACUAUUUAAAAUCUAAAUAUAAAUUAAAUUUUUUUUAAGCAAUCCGAAAUGGACUUAGCAUACUUUAAGUCCCGACUAGGUAAAUCAGACUAGGAUCUAAAAUCAGGUAGAAAGGGAAUGGUUUCAUCAAGGAUGGAACCUUCCUUUCGAUUUUUCUUUUAUUUAUAUAUUUAUUUAUUUAAUUAAUUUUUUUUUCUUCUUCUUCAAAAGGGGAAAAAGGGGAGAGGGGAGGAAAGGGGCCUUCGGGCGGCUGCAGUGAAGGACCGCGUCGCACGGGGGAACGACCACCAGACAAGCGGUCUUCCACUUUUUUUUUUUUAUUUUUUUCCUUUUUUCUUCGUUUUCUCCUCUCUCUUUUUUUCCUUCUCUUUUUCUCUUUCUUUUGUUCUUUCUCUUUUUUUUUUUUUUUUCUUUCUUCUUCAUCGCUGUCCCCUCAUCUUCCAGGAGGGGGAAAGGGCGAGAGCCCGUCACACCGAAAAGUAGGGGAGGGGAAGAAAGGCCUCCGGCCCGACGGUGGCUCCUGCCGAGGACCGCCGGCCGAGGAACGACAAAGUUCCGGCCAUCGCCAGGUCGAUCGGGAGGAGAGGAAGACAGGGGAGGAGACGGGGACUUACCUCGGCUCCGAGGAGGCGCUGCGGCCACGAUUCCGGCGGCUCGAAGACAGGGCACCGUGAGCCCGAGCAGAGGAAGAAAGAAGGGAAGGGAGAGGAGAAAGGAGAGAGAUGGAGGAGGAAGAAGGGCUCGGUGAGCCCAAGCAGACAAGGAAGGAAAGAAAUAGAGGGAGGAGACUGCGAAUUCCGCGAUCUCCUCAUGCUAUCCUUCCAAAAUCGGAGCACAGCAAGGAGAUUUGCCGGAAAGGAAAGAAGAGGGGCGGGGCUCCGGCGAUGUCGCGCGGCCCUGUCCUCCCUUGCGGCGAGGAUCGUGGCUAGCUCCACUGAACUGGCCCACGCGCAAACAUAGGGUGUCACAUUCUUUCUUUUUUCUCCUUUUUUUUUUUUUUUUUUUUUUUUUUUUUUUUUUUUUUUUUUUUUUUUUUUGCUAAUACGGGUGGAUCAUACCUGACGGGUACGGAUACACCCAAUAAAGUCAAAAAUAGGAUACCUCGGAGUGCCAAAGGCACCUCCCCAUCUCCAGACCACAAGGUAUCUCCGGAAUGGCGAGCUACAUGCGCAGCCACCCAAUCCGCAGCACCAUUUGCUUCACGGUAGAUAUGCUUAGCCUGAAAGGCCCAUCCAUCCCUCGCCAUAGUCCAUAUGUCACGAAGCAAUGGGUGGUCACAGACGUCACCCCUAGGACCCUCUCGGAUCCAACUGAUAACGGUGGCUGAAUCACCCUCUAGGAUGAUAGACCUAGCCUGUAACACGCACCGGGCAUGUCGAAGGCCAGCCCAGGCAGCUCUCAGCUCCGCCCUUGGAAUCGAGGUGUCAAAUAAAUGACUACCACCUACGGCCACAACCCUCCUUAAAGAAGGAGGCUAUUGGUGAUGAUGUCAUGGUAGGAGGUGUUUUGGGAGAUUGGACGCACUGAUUGGAGGGCUGGAAGGGGGUGGAUUGGGUCACAUUGCAUAGCUCAUAUGGGACUAAACGCAUUCUCGCAUGGCUCUUUUUUUUCCUAUAAAAUUCGGGUUGUAGAGGUGCUAUGUUGGUAUGGCUAUAUUUAAAUGGAAUGCCCAAUGCGCAAAUCCAGCAGAAAUUUAAACCCAAUCUUGCCGGAUUACUCAGACAAGUUUUUACUGAUAAGGGAGGCACAAAACCACCUAGCUUCUAUUAAAUGAAUAGAAAUAGACGCCAAAAAAAAAGGGACGGAGAGGACGGUGCAAGUGAGCAGCUCUUCAUGAGAACUGCUCAGAUACAAGACACCUGCAAUGCAGAAAGUAAACAAAUUGAUGAAAACAUUGCAGGUCUGAGAGUGCACAGAGUUAUAAAGUUACCCAAGACCCCAACAACAGAGCUCUUUAAAACAGUACAUUAGUCUUCUAACGAUCCAUUAGUUUCUUCUCCUGAGUGUUCGAGAGAAUGCUUAAAACUUGGUUAUAAGUCAGAAAAGCAGGCUUGAAAUAAUGAGCUGGCCUUGGAAAGGCAAUGAUCAAGAUUGAAUUCCCCCAAAUUAAACAUCCACAAGGUUCUGUUUAUUUCCUUGAUGUUAGCCCAAGAGUUGGAAAUCACAGUGCACAGAGUAGAUCCAGCUAUAGGGGGAGAAGAUGUUUGAGGCGAAUUGCACCUUUAGGUCCAUAGUAUGUGACGUAUUGCCCAUGGGUGCCCCCAUGAUUGUUACCCUUAUGAUAGAUUAAUAUUCCUUUCCUUGUAAUUUUUUUUCUUUUUUGUGAUCAGUUUUUUUUUUUUUUCGUAGUACUUCAGCUUUGCAGCUAAGACAUUGUCAUUAUAUAUUAAGUUUUUUUUUUAAGAGAUCAAACAACAUUUGUGGUCC